rnacentral:rRNA from 1 species
GAUGAACGCUGGCGGCGUGCUUAACACAUGCAAGUCGAACGAAGCACUUUAUUUGAUUUCCUUCGGGACUGAUUAUUUUGUGACUGAGUGGCGGACGGGUGAGUAACGCGUGGGUAACCUGCCUUGUACAGGGGGAUAACAGUUGGAAACGGCUGCUAAUACCGCAUAAGCGCACGGCAUCGCAUGAUGCAGUGUGAAAAACUCCGGUGGUAUAAGAUGGACCCGCGUUGGAUUAGCUAGUUGGUGAGGUAACGGCCCACCAAGGCGACGAUCCAUAGCCGACCUGAGAGGGUGACCGGCAACAUUGGGACUGAGACACGGCCCAAACUCCUACGGGAGGCAGCAGUGGGGAAUAUUGAACAAUGGGCGAAAGCCGGAUGCAGCGACGCCGCGUGAGCGAAGAAGUAUUUCGGUAUGUAAAGCUCUAUCAGCAGGGAAGAUAAUGACGGUACCUGACUAAGAAGCACCGGCUAAAUACGUG